AUGGACCAUUCCAUCCCUUAUUCCCAUGGCCAUGCAUCGGAUUCGGAUGACGAAGGUCUCGAUGAACAAGUUGACGAGGAGGGGUUCACGGUGAAGGAGGCUGAAGCUUUCGAGAAGGUAUUCAGUCGGAAUCAUCGGACUACAUUGUUCAAGGAUGUUAGUCUCACGGAUGAAGCCAUGGUAGAUGGUGGCCAAGGUAUAUCUCUUGGGGUUAGGCCAAGAUCUCACCGUGAUUUGGAUGACGGCAAGAACGGGAUUGCUAACGGGUCUAAGUUUGAAACCUUCUUGGAAUUGAAGAUGUGGCUCGACAACUACUCGUUACACAUUAUCGUCCACACAAGGUGGUGA
rnacentral:rRNA from 1 species